CUCCCUUGAGCCUGACCUCCUUCACUUGCCCUGCCAUGCCACAGCAGCGCCAACUCUGCAAUUCUCAAAACAAAUCUUGUUACUUAUGAUGUCCCUGCCCCCAGUGCCUUUGCACCGCUCACUCUGUCUGGGGUAUUCUUCCAAAGCACUGUCCCGAGAGAUCAUCUCACAGACUGCAGCGUCUUUGAAACACUAUCUUCAACCCAGCUCGCCUUGCGCGUCCCCCUUCCUGUGCUGGACACUGGGAUGCCUGCCCUGACUGCUACUGGCCUUGUCCUCACCCAGGAAGAGGAAGGAGAAUGGAACACAGAACAGGAAAGGUGCGGGCAUCCUGCAAGGAACCGAAGGAGCUGGUGAGCAGCAGAGAGCCAGAGUUCAAACUCAACUCAAGCAGUCGAGGUUGGAAGCCAUCGCUUCUGUACCCCCGACCCCAGGGUCUUCUCGGCGGGCCGUCCCCGGCCUGAGCAGCCAGGUGUCCUCUCGCUCCUCCCUUCCCCGCCCCCACAGCAUCGCUUUAUUCUCCCCAGGGCGGUUGGAAAUGCUACGUGCUUUGUGCUCCUACCUUCGUCUGCUCUCUGAAGCUGGAACGUCAGCUCCGCGGGCACAGUGCCCCUUCCCUCAGGUCCGUCUGGCCCCUUGGUGCCAGGCUCUGCCUUGCUUCCCUGCAUCUAAAUUCGUGAUGGAGGCUCAGGAAACACUUUGCUCGACUGAAAGAACUUGAAAACGGAGAAUACGGAAAUUAGGCUCUAAAGAGACUAAGACAAGAAUUCAGUGGAGGGGUAAGGACACCUUGCAAGCUCAUAUUCAGCGGCUUCAGAAACCAAAGCAAAGAGCUUGCAAGCAGUUUGAUAUUAGAACAACAGAUAAAACC
rnacentral:lncRNA from 1 species